rnacentral:lncRNA from 1 species
GAUCGGGUUCUUGAUGGCCUUGCCUAUGAUGAUGGAAAUUGGUCUUGAGAGGGGCUUUCGUAGUGCACUAAGUGAUUUUAUACUAAUGCAACUACAGUUGGCUCCUGUGUUUUUCACAUUUUCUCUGGGAACAAAAACACACUACUACGGAAGGACAUUACUCCAUGGGGGUGCACAGUACAGAGGAACAGGCCGUGGUUUCGUGGUGUUUCAUGCAAAGUUUGCUGAUAACUAUAGGUUCUACUCCCGUAGCCAUUUCGUGAAGGGAAUUGAACUGCUGAUUCUCCUUGUUGUGUACCAUAUAUUUGGCCAUUCAUAUAGAAGUGCAAUUGUAUAUCUGCUAAUAACAGCAACAAUAUGGUUUAUGGUAGGGACAUGGCUUUUUGCACCUUUCCUCUUCAACCCGUCAGGUUUCGAGUGGCAAAAGAUUGUCGAUGACUGGACAGACUGGAAUAAGUGGAUAAACAACCGGGGUGGAAUUGGUGUACCUCCAGAAAAGAGCUGGGAAUCUUGGUGGGAAAAGGAACAACAGCAUCUUCGAUACUCUGGACUUCGUGGCAUCACAACCGAGAUAUUGCUAGCAUUCCGCUUCU